rnacentral:tRNA from 1 species
GCUGGAGUCGCCUAACCUGGUAUGGCACAAGCCUGGAAAGCUUGCGAGCGCAAGCUCUUGCGAGUUCAAAUCUCGCCUCCAGCG